GUAUAAGAGACAGCAGCCGCCACGGUAAUACAGAGGGUGCGAGCGUUAAUCGGAUUUACUGGGCGUAAAGCGUGCGUAGGCGGCUUCUUAAGUCGGAUGUGAAAUCCCUGAGCUUAACUUAGGAAUUGCAUUCGAUACUGGGAAGCUAGAGUAUGGGAGAGGAUGGUAGAAUUCCAGGUGUAGCGGUGAAAUGCGUAGAGAUCUGGAGGAAUACCGAUGGCGAAGGCAGCCAUCUGGCCUAAUACUGACGCUGAGGUACGAAAGCAUGGGGAGCAAACAGGAUUAGAUACCCCGGUAGUCCCUGUCUCUUAUAC
rnacentral:rRNA from 1 species